UCUGUGUCCGUUAUGGUUCAGUCAGUGU
rnacentral:piRNA from 1 species